rnacentral:lncRNA from 1 species
UUUUUGCAAUGAUCUUAUACAACAUCCCAACUAAUGAAAUUUUCUCAAAGAAACCAGAAUUGGUGAAUCCUCGACAUAAGAAGUGUUCGAUUUAAGGAUAAAUUAUUUUUGAAAAGGGAGGGGAUUUUGUGAGCAUAAAAAAUGAAGUUGGCGACCAAGGAAGACUUAAGGGAGAUCUGCACACUUUAGAUGGAUUUUUUUAUAUCCCCAAUACU